rnacentral:rRNA from 1 species
CCUACGGGUGGCAGCAGUGGGGAAUAUUGGACAAUGGGGGGAACCCUGAUCCAGCCAUGCCGCGUGUGUGAAGAAGGCCCCCGGGUUGUAAAGCACUUUCAGUGAGGAAGAACGCCUGGUGGUUAAUACCCAUCAGGAAAGACAUCACUCACAGAAGAAGCACCGGCUAACUCCGUGCCAGCAGCCGCGGUAAUACGGAGGGUGCGAGCGUUAAUCGGAAUUACUGGGCGUAAAGCGCGCGUAGGUGGCUUGAUAAGCCGGUUGUGAAAGCCCCGGGCUCAACCUGGGAACGGCAUCCGGAACUGUCAAGCUAGAGUGCAGGAGAGGAAGGUAAAAUUCCCGGUGUAGCGGUGAAAUGCGUAGAGAUCGGGAGGAAUAACAGUGGCGAAGGCGGCCUUCUGGACUGACACUGACACUGAGGUGCGAAAGCGUGGGUAGCAAACAGGAUUAGAUACCCCAGUAGUC